rnacentral:rRNA from 1 species
CUGGAGACAGGUGCUGCAUGGCUGUCGUCAGCUCGUGUCGUGAGAUGUUGGGUUAAGUCCCGCAACGAGCGCAACCCUUGCCUUUAGUUGCCAGCAGUUCGGCUGGGCACUCUAAAGGGACUGCCGGUGUUGAACCGGAGGAAGGUGGGGAUGACGUCAAGUCCUCAUGGCCUUUAUGACCAGGGCUACACACGUACUACAAUGGCCGAUACGAAGGGCAGCGACACUGCGAGGUGAAGCCAAUCCCGUAAAAUCGGUCUCAGUCCGGAUUGGAGUCUGCAACUCGACUCCAUGAAGUUGGAAUCGCUAGUAAUCGUGGAUCAGCAUGCCACGGUGAAUACGUUCCCGGGCCUU